rnacentral:rRNA from 1 species
UGGGCCUACGGGAGGCAGCAGUGGGGAAUAUUGCGCAAUGGGCGAAAGCCUGACGCAGCAACGCCGCGUGGGGGAUGAAGGUUUUCGGAUUGUAAACCCCUUUCGAUCGGAACGAAUCUCCUCGUGGUAAACAAUCACGAGGAUCGACGGUACCGAGAGAAGAAGCCACGGCUAACUCUGUGCCAGCAGCGCGGUAAU